CGCGUAGGUGGUUUGAUAAGCGAGAUGUGAAAGCCCCGGGCUUAACCUGGGAACGGCAUUUCGAACUGUCAGGCUAGAGUAUGGUAGAGGAGUGUGGAAUUUCCUGUGUAGCGGUGAAAUGCGUAGAUAUAGGAAGGAACACCAGUGGCGAAGGCGGCACUCUGGACCAAUACUGACACUGAGGCGCGAAAGCGUGGGGAGCAAACA
rnacentral:rRNA from 1 species